rnacentral:rRNA from 1 species
UGCUACCGGGUCAUGCCGAGCACUCUGAAAGGACUGCCCAGGAGAACGGGGAGGAAGGUGGGGAUGACGUCAAGUCAGCAUGGCCUUUAUGCCUGGGGCCACACACGUGCUACAAUGGCCGGUACAAAGCGCUGCAAACCUGCAAGGGGAAGCCAAUCGCAAAAAACCGGCCUCAGUUCAGAUUGAGGUCUGCAACUCGACCUCAUGAAGGCGGAAUCGCUAGUAAUCGCGGAUCAGCACGCCGCGGUGAAUACGUUCCCGGGCCUUGUACACACCGCCCGUCACACCACGAAAGCCUGUUGUACCUGAAGUCGCCUAAGCCAACCGCAAGGAGGCAGGCGCCCACGGUAUGGCCGGUGAUUGGGGUG